UUAAGCGACUAAGCGUACACGGUGGAUGCCCUGGCAGUCAGAGGCGAUGAAGGACGUGCUAAUCUGCGAUAAGCGUCGGUAAGGUGAUAUGAACCGUUAUAACCGGCGAUUUCCGAAUGGGGAAACCCAGUGUGAUUCGUCACACUAUCAUUAACUGAAUCCAUAGGUUAAUGAGGCGAACCGGGGGAACUGAAACAUCUAAGUACCCCGAGGAAAAGAAAUCAACCGAGAUUCCCCCAGUAGCGGCGAGCGAACGGGGAGCAGCCCAGAGCCUGAAUCAGUGUGUGUGUUAGUGGAAGCGUCUGGAAAGGCGCGCGAUACAGGGUGACAGCCCCGUACACAAAAAUGCACAUACUGUGAGCUCGAUGAGUAGGGCGGGACACGUGGUAUCCUGUCUGAAUAUGGGGGGACCAUCCUCCAAGGCUAAAUACUCCUGACUGACCGAUAGUGAACCAGUACCGUGAGGGAAAGGCGAAAAGAACCCCGGCGAGGGGAGUGAAAAAGAACCUGAAACCGUGUACGUACAAGCAGUGGGAGCACGCUUAGGCGUGUGACUGCGUACCUUUUGUAUAAUGGGUCAGCGACUUAUAUUCUGUAGCAAGGUUAACCGAAUAGGGGAGCCGAAGGGAAACCGAGUCUUAACUGGGCGUUAAGUUGCAGGGUAUAGACCCGAAACCCGGUGAUCUAGCCAUGGGCAGGUUGAAGGUUGGGUAACACUAACUGGAGGACCGAACCGACUAAUGUUGAAAAAUUAGCGGAUGACUUGUGGCUGGGGGUGAAAGGCCAAUCAAACCGGGAGAUAGCUGGUUCUCCCCGAAAGCUAUUUAGGUAGCGCCUCGUGAAUUCAUCUCCGGGGGUAGAGCACUGUUUCGGCAAGGGGGUCAUCCCGACUUACCAACCCGAUGCAAACUGCGAAUACCGGAGAAUGUUAUCACGGGAGACACACGGCGGGUGCUAACGUCCGUCGUGAAGAGGGAAACAACCCAGACCGCCAGCUAAGGUCCCAAAGUCAUGGUUAAGUGGGAAACGAUGUGGGAAGGCCCAGACAGCCAGGAUGUUGGCUUAGAAGCAGCCAUCAUUUAAAGAAAGCGUAAUAGCUCACUGGUCGAGUCGGCCUGCGCGGAAGAUGUAACGGGGCUAAACCAUGCACCGAAGCUGCGGCAGCGACGCUGAUGCGUUGUUGGGUAGGGGAGCGUUCUGUAAGCCUGCGAAGGUGUGCUGUGAGGCAUGCUGGAGGUAUCAGAAGUGCGAAUGCUGACAUAAGUAACGAUAAAGCGGGUGAAAAGCCCGCUCGCCGGAAGACCAAGGGUUCCUGUCCAACGUUAAUCGGGGCAGGGUGAGUCGACCCCUAAGGCGAGGCCGAAAGGCGUAGUCGAUGGGAAACAGGUUAAUAUUCCUGUACUUGGUGUUACUGCGAAGGGGGGACGGAGAAGGCUAUGUUGGCCGGGCGACGGUUGUCCCGGUUUAAGCGUGUAGGCUGGUUUUCCAGGCAAAUCCGGAAAAUCAAGGCUGAGGCGUGAUGACGAGGCACUACGGUGCUGAAGCAACAAAUGCCCUGCUUCCAGGAAAAGCCUCUAAGCAUCAGGUAACAUCAAAUCGUACCCCAAACCGACACAGGUGGUCAGGUAGAGAAUACCAAGGCGCUUGAGAGAACUCGGGUGAAGGAACUAGGCAAAAUGGUGCCGUAACUUCGGGAGAAGGCACGCUGAUAUGUAGGUGAAGCGACUUGCUCGUGGAGCUGAAAUCAGUCGAAGAUACCAGCUGGCUGCAACUGUUUAUUAAAAACACAGCACUGUGCAAACACGAAAGUGGACGUAUACGGUGUGACGCCUGCCCGGUGCCGGAAGGUUAAUUGAUGGGGUCAGCGCAAGCGAAGCUCUUGAUCGAAGCCCCGGUAAACGGCGGCCGUAACUAUAACGGUCCUAAGGUAGCGAAAUUCCUUGUCGGGUAAGUUCCGACCUGCACGAAUGGCGUAAUGAUGGCCAGGCUGUCUCCACCCGAGACUCAGUGAAAUUGAACUCGCUGUGAAGAUGCAGUGUACCCGCGGCAAGACGGAAAGACCCCGUGAACCUUUACUAUAGCUUGACACUGAACAUUGAGCCUUGAUGUGUAGGAUAGGUGGGAGGCUUUGAAGUGUGGACGCCAGUCUGCAUGGAGCCGACCUUGAAAUACCACCCUUUAAUGUUUGAUGUUCUAACGUUGACCCGUGAUCCGGGUUGCGGACAGUGUCUGGUGGGUAGUUUGACUGGGGCGGUCUCCUCCUAAAGAGUAACGGAGGAGCACGAAGGUUGGCUAAUCCUGGUCGGACAUCAGGAGGUUAGUGCAAUGGCAUAAGCCAGCUUGACUGCGAGCGUGACGGCGCGAGCAGGUGCGAAAGCAGGUCAUAGUGAUCCGGUGGUUCUGAAUGGAAGGGCCAUCGCUCAACGGAUAAAAGGUACUCCGGGGAUAACAGGCUGAUACCGCCCAAGAGUUCAUAUCGACGGCGGUGUUUGGCACCUCGAUGUCGGCUCAUCACAUCCUGGGGCUGAAGUAGGUCCCAAGGGUAUGGCUGUUCGCCAUUUAAAGUGGUACGCGAGCUGGGUUUAGAACGUCGUGAGACAGUUCGGUCCCUAUCUGCCGUGGGCGCUGGAGAACUGAGGGGGGCUGCUCCUAGUACGAGAGGACCGGAGUGGACGCAUCACUGGUGUUCGGGUUGUCAUGCCAAUGGCACUGCCCGGUAGCUAAAUGCGGAAGAGAUAAGUGCUGAAAGCAUCUAAGCACGAAACUUGCCCCGAGAUGAGUUCUCCCUGACUCCUUGAGAGUCCUGAAGGAACGUUGAAGACGACGACGUUGAUAGGCCGGGUGUGUAAGCGCAGCGAUGCGUUGAGCUAACCGGUACUAAUGAACCGUGAGGCUUAACCU
rnacentral:rRNA from 1 species